GAUGAACGCUGGCGGCGUGCCUAAUACAUGCAAGUCGAGCGAACAGACGAGGAGCUUGCUCCUCUGACGUUAGCGGCGGACGGGUGAGUAACACGUGGAUAACCUACCUAUAAGACUGGGAUAACUUCUGGAAACCGGAGCUAAUACCUGAUAAUAUAUUGAACCGCAUUGUUCAAUAGUUAAAGACGGUUUUGCUUUCACUUAUACAUUGAUCCGCGCCGCAUUAGCUAGUUGCUAAGGUAACGGCUUACCAAGGCGACGCUUCGUAUCCGACCUGUGAGAUUGUUCGCUCACCCUGGAACUGCGACACGGUUCCUCCUCUUACGGGACGCAGCAGUCGCGCAUUUUCCGGAAGCGUUGAGAGCAUGACGCAGCCGCGCCGCGUGAGUCCUGACGGUCUCAGGCUCUCAAAACUCUGUUAUUCGCGAAGAACAACCCUUUCAGUCAUUAUGAACCUCUUGAGUCUACCUAAUCAGAAAGCGACGGCUAACUACGUC
rnacentral:rRNA from 1 species